rnacentral:rRNA from 1 species
AUUGAACGCUGGCGGCAUGCCUAACACAUGCAAGUCGAACGGCAGCACGGUUGCUUGCUCCUGGUGGCGGGUGGCGGACGGGGGAGUAAUACAUCGGAACAUGUCCUGUCGUUGUGGAUAGCCCGGCGAAAGCCGGAUUAAUACCGCAUACGAUCUACGGAUGAAAGCGGAGGACCGUCGUGCCUCGCGCUCGAGCGUUUGCCGAUGGCUGAGUAGCUAGUGGGUGGGGGAAAGGCCUACCACGGCGACGGUCAGUAGCUGGUCUGAGAGUACGACAGGCCAACUUGGGACUGGGAACGGGCCCAGACUCCUACGGGGGGGAGGAGGGGGGAAUUUUGGCAAAGGGGGGAAAGCCUGACCAAGCAAAGCCGGGGGGGUGAAGAAGGCCUUCGGGUUGUAAAGCACUUUUGUCCGGAAAGAAAUCAUUGGCCCUAAUACGGGCGGGGGAUGACGGUACCGGAAGAAAAAGCACGGGCUAAUUAGGU